rnacentral:tRNA from 1 species
CGGGGCAUGGCUCAGCUUGGCUUAGAGCGCCUGGUUUGGGACCAGGAUGUCGGUGGUUCGAAUCCACCUGCCCCGACCA